UAAUAUGCCCAAACGCCCGCAGAAGAACAUUUCACGUCCAGCUGAUUAAAUCUAUAAAAAUCAAUAAAUAUAAAAGCAAACUCAUUGUCAUUGUUGGUACACGGCAUGAAAUUGAUGUGAAAUUACAGGGAAAUUCCUACAGUAAUCUGCUGUUUUAUUGAUAUACGGCACAUUGCUUAAGACAGAACAGCAUUGUGGGCGUUUUGCUCUUAACUGCAUAACACCGUUUGAAUUUUCAGUAAUUAACUGGAAAUUGCUAUGGAUAUUGGGAAGCCGUUGGUUAGUAGUGGCGACAGAGAAUUUGCUAACAAAGCAAUGCCAAGUUUCGAGUGUCACACCUAAUAGGCUACGCGAAUUUAAAAGUAAUUAUAUCACAAUUUGUUCGUUUUUGAUUUCCAACAGAAUACGUUGAUCUGUAUUUCACAUAAAUUUUCUUGUUCUUUUCCAAGGCAACCCUGUACUUUGAGUAUUUUUUGUUGCAGCUGGCUAGAGUGUCGCCGGAUUGUGCAGUACACAAGUCUUGUACAGUAUCCAGUCUUCUGGGCCAUGUAACAGUAGGAACAGAGACGAGACUAACGGCAACCAAUGAACAAGUUGAGGAUGUUUCAGUGUUGGAGGGAUUUGACUGACGACGUAACGUGAAAAGAAAACAAUUGCAUCAUACAAAGACAGCGUGCAGCACAGCAUGCAGCAUAACAUCGCACACUUCAAUCUCUUUCCUUGGGAUCUUGAAUGUCUGAUAUAAGUGAGAGCAUCAAGGACGCAGUCAUUUCUGUCCUGCCAAGUGUGCCAGAAGAAACGAUCUUACACCAGGGAGUGGAAAGCAAAGAUGACUUGCAGUACAUAAGAGAACAGGAAAUUGCAGAGGUUAUUCGACCAAUUCAGUGCAGAAAACUUUUAAAUGCAUGGAAAUGAGCAGGUUUCUGCCUCUGCUGCUGACGUUGAGAGGUCCUUAACUUUGCCUGACAGUCCUCGAUUGAUUGUUCUCGAACUCGCCUCCGCAGGCGGGACCCGUGGCGACGGAACCUCUCCAAACUUCGCUAUCCCUCACUGACCCCCUGU